GGGUUGUGAGGUUAAGCGACUAAGCGUACACGGUGGAUGCCCUGGCAGUCAGAGGCGAUGAAGGACGUGCUAAUCUGCGAAAAGCGCCGGCGAGGUGAUAUGAACCCUUGACCCGGCGAUGUCCGAAUGGGGAAACCCAGUGCAAUUCGUUGCACUAUCGUUAACUGAAUACAUAGGUUAACGAGGCGAACCGGGGGAACUGAAACAUCUAAGUACCCCGAGGAAAAGAAAUCAACCGAGAUUCCCCCAGUAGCGGCGAGCGAACGGGGAGCAGCCCGGAGUCUGAAUCAGCUUGUGUGUUAGUGGAACGGUCUGGAAAGUCCGACGGUACAGGGUGAUAGUCCCGUACACGAAAACACACUUGCUGUGAACUCGAAGAGUAGGGCGGGACACGUGGUAUCCUGUCUGAAUAUGGGGGGACCAUCCUCCAAGGCUAAAUACUCCUGACUGACCGAUAGUGAACCAGUACCGUGAGGGAAAGGCGAAAAGAACCCCGGCGAGGGGAGUGAAAAAGAACCUGAAACCGUGUACGUACAAGCAGUGGGAGCACCUUCGGGUGUGACUGCGUACCUUUUGUAUAAUGGGUCAGCGACUUAUAUUCUGUAGCAAGGUUAACCGUAUAGGGGAGCCGAAGGGAAACCGAGUCUUAACUGGGCGUUAAGUUGCAGGGUAUAGACCCGAAACCCGGUGAUCUAGCCAUGGGCAGGUUGAAGGUUGGGUAACACUAACUGGAGGACCGAACCGACUAAUGUUGAAAAAUUAGCGGAUGACCUGUGGCUGGGGGUGAAAGGCCAAUCAAACCGGGAGAUAGCUGGUUCUCCCCGAAAGCUAUUUAGGUAGCGCCUCGUGAACUCAUCUUCGGGGGUAGAGCACUGUUUCGGCUAGGGGGCCAUCCCGGCUUACCAACCCGAUGCAAACUACGAAUACCGAAGAAUGUUAUCACGGGAGACACACGGCGGGUGCUAACGUCCGUCGUGAAGAGGGAAACAACCCAGACCGCCAGCUAAGGUCCCAAAGUCAUGGUUAAGUGGGAAACGAUGUGGGAAGGCACAGACAGCCAGGAUGUUGGCUUAGAAGCAGCCAUCAUUUAAAGAAAGCGUAAUAGCUCACUGGUCGAGUCGGCCUGCGCGGAAGAUGUAACGGGGCUAAACCAUGCACCGAAGCUGCGGCAGCGACACUAUGUGUUGUUGGGUAGGGGAGCGUUCUGUAAGCCGUUGAAGGUGUGCUGUGAGGCAUGCUGGAGGUAUCAGAAGUGCGAAUGCUGACAUAAGUAACGAUAAAGCGGGUGAAAAGCCCGCUCGCCGGAAGACCAAGGGUUCCUGUCCAACGUUAAUCGGGGCAGGGUGAGUCGACCCCUAAGGCGAGGCCGAAAGGCGUAGUCGAUGGGAAACAGGUUAAUAUUCCUGUACUUGGUGUUACUGCGAAGGGGGGACGGAGAAGGCUAUGUCAGCCGGGCGACGGUUGUCCCGGUUUAAGCAUGUAGGCGGAGGUUCCAGGUAAAUCCGGUACCUUUUAACGCUGAGGUGUGAUGACGAGGCACUACGGUGCUGAAGUGAUAAAUGCCCUGCUUCCAGGAAAAGCCUCUAAGCAUCAGGUAACACGAAAUCGUACCCCAAACCGACACAGGUGGUCAGGUAGAGAAUACCAAGGCGCUUGAGAGAACUCGGGUGAAGGAACUAGGCAAAAUGGUGCCGUAACUUCGGGAGAAGGCACGCUGAUAUGUAGGUGAAGUCCCUGCGGGCGGAGCUGAAAUCAGUCGAAGAUACCAGCUGGCUGCAACUGUUUAUUAAAAACACAGCACUGUGCAAACACGAAAGUGGACGUAUACGGUGUGACGCCUGCCCGGUGCCGGAAGGUUAAUU
rnacentral:rRNA from 1 species